rnacentral:rRNA from 1 species
UACGUAGGGGGGCAAGCGUUGUCCGGAAUCAUUGGGCGUAAAGCGCGCGUAGGCGGCCCGGUAAGUCCGCUGUAAAAGUCCAGGGCUCAACCCUGGAAAGCCGGUGGAUACUGUCGGGCUAGAGUCCGGAAGAGGCGAGUGGAAUUCCUGGUGUAGCGGUGGAAUGCGCAGAUAUCAGGAGGAACACCGAUGGCGAAGGCAGCUCGCUGGGACGGUGACUGACGCUGAGGCGCGAAAGCGUGGGGAGCGAACAGG